rnacentral:rRNA from 1 species
CCUACGGGUGGCAGCAGUGGGGAAUAUUGGGCAAUGGGCGCAAGCCUGACCCAGCAACGCCGCGUGAAGGAAGAAGGCUCUCGGGUUGUAAACUUCUUUUUACAGGGACGAGUAGAAGACGUUACCUGUCGAAUAAGCCACGUCUAACUACGUGCCAGCAGCCGCGGUAAUACGUAGGUAGCAAGCGUUGUCCGGAUUUACUGGGUGUAAAGGGCGUGUAGCCGGGUUGACAAGUCAGAUGUGAAAUCCUUGGGCUUAACCGCAGAACUGCAUUUGAAACUGUUUGUCUUGAGUGAUUGAGAGGGAGGCGGAAUUCAUAGUGUAGCGGUGAAAUGCGUAGAUAUUAGGAAGAACACCGAUGGCGAAGGCGG